GCCAAAAGCUUCAUCGAUAAAAACACACAGC
rnacentral:piRNA from 1 species